rnacentral:tRNA from 1 species
GGGCUGAUGGUUCGGCUUGGUACGAACAUUCGAUUCGCAAUCGAAAAAUCGCGGGUUCAAAUCCCGCUCAGUCCA